AUUAUUAGGUAUAUUAUUUGUAAAAUAUGUGCUUACAAUAUUAAUGUAUUAGUUAAUCAAGAGUUUCAUUAGAAAUACAUCAUUUAUAUUUGAAUAUUGGAAAAGAAAAAAGUUAGUCGAAAUCUAUUAAAACGAAAGAAUAUUUUAUCUACUUUCUUUAUUGUGUUUCCUUACAAUUUUAAUUAAUCUUUAAUAUUAUAUGAAUCUUGAAAUAAAAUGAAAAUUUAUGAUGAAUAAAAAUCUCAACAUUUAGGAAGAAAUAAUAAAACACAUUUUCUAUUUGAACAAUAUAUAAUAUUUUAAAUCUUAUUCAUUCUCAAUAAUAGAAGUUCUAUUUUUUAUUUUAUUAAUUACUCUAGAAAUCUUUGAUUUAAUUUUGCUCUUUCUUGAAAUUUUCUGGCUCUCAUGAGAUUUACCUAUAUAACUAAAAGAAUCAUUCAAUUUAGUAUUUUCCAUUGAACUUAUACGAGAAGAUGAAGUAUUUAAAGCUGAAACAGGAGGAUUGAUAUCAAUAAUUGGUGAAGAUAAACUCAAAUUUGACCUCUUUGGUACAAUUUGGUCAUAAUCUCGUAAUAUGUCAUUACUUAUAAUAUAUGAACUAUUGUCAUUAAUAUUAUUAUUAUUUUUUUUAUUAACAUCCUUCAAACUUUUUGUUUGAUUCGAAAGUUCUUUAUUAUUUAUUAUUCCAUUUUCUUCAAUAAAAUUAUUCAGUAUUGCAUUAUUUGAAGUUUUUGGAUUAUAUGUGUUAAUUAAAUUGGAUUUAUUAUUUUCUUCAUUAACAAUAUUCGAAUUUUUACAAUAAUUUGAAGACUUUAAACAACUUUUUGAUUUUUUUCCUGAAUUUUUAAAGCUUUCCAUAGCUAUUGGUAAAACUCCAAAAGAUUGAAAUACAUUAUGAUCACAACAAGGAUUAUCAAUUAUUAAAUUAUGAUGAAAAUCUUCAACACAUGGAUUUUCAUCAUUAUCUUCAUUAAUAUACAAACUUGAAGAAGCAGAAAAGAAACUCUGAGAAUCUUCAAUAAUCAUUGCAAUAUUUUCUGCUAAAUUUGGAGAUUCUGAUAAGACUGAAUAUUCUCUUAUAAAAUGUUGGCUCAUAUCACCAAUAUUAGCAAUAUCUGUAUUCAUAUUAAUUGUAUUGAUUAUACCAAUAUUAAUUUCAGCUGAUAAAUCUCUAUCCUCAUUAUUAGUAGAUUGUAUCUUUUGAUUUGGUAUUGACAAAUUAUCUAAUUUCAUAUUAUCUGUAUGCUCCAUUAAAUAACUCUUUAAUUCCAACU
rnacentral:antisense_RNA from 1 species